rnacentral:other from 1 species
GCGGGGCUGCCCGGCACGUGAGGCAUGUCAUACCCCUGGGCCGAUAAGCACUUCCUUGGGAGCUGGCUCUGUUGUGGCCCUGGCCACAUUAUCUGGUGCCCACCUGCACUCGCAGGUCCUGGAGGUUGAAAAGACCCACGGCCAUGGCGGCUCCGCA